rnacentral:rRNA from 1 species
UGGCGAACGGGUGAGUAACACGUGGGUGAUCUGCCCUGCACUUUGGGAUAAGCCUGGGAAACUGGGUCUAAUACCAGAUAGGACCAUGCUUUGGAUGGUGUGGUUGAAAGUUUUUUCGGUGUGGGAUGAGCUUGCGGCCUAUCAGCUUGUUGGUGGGGUAAUGGCCUACCAAGGCGUCGACGGGUAGCCGGCCUGAGAGGGUGUACGGCCACAUUGGGACUGAGAUACGGCCCAG